GCCCUGAUGGUCUAGUGGUAUGAUUCUCCCUUCGGGUUGUCCCCUGCCUCACAGAAGCGCGACUGGGAGAGGUCCCCGGUUCAAAUCCGGGUUAGGGCC